UAAGGAAUAUUGGUCAAUGGACGGAAGUCUGAACCAGCCAUGCCGCGUGGAGGAUGAAGGCCCUCUGGGUUGUAAACUUCUUUUAUUUGGGACGAAACACUCUUUAUCUAAAGAGCUUGACGGUACCAGAUGAAUAAGCACCGGCUAACUCCGUGCCAGCAGCCGCGGUAAUACGGAGGGUGCAAGCGUUAUCCGGAUUCACUGGGUUUCAAGGGUGCGUAGGCGGGUUUGUAAGUCCGUGGUGAAAUCUCCGAGCUUAACUUGGAAACUGCCAUUGAUACUAUCAGUCUUGAAUAUUGUGGAGGUCAGCGGAAUAUGUCAUGUAGCGGUGAAAUGCUUAGAUAUGACAUAGAACACCAAUUGCGAAGGCAGGUUACUACUUGUGGAUUGACGCUGAUGGACGAAAGCGUGGGGAGCGAACA
rnacentral:rRNA from 1 species